rnacentral:rRNA from 1 species
UACAGAGGGGGCAAGCGUUGUUCGGAAUUACUGGGCGUAAAGAGCUCGUAGGCGGUUUGUCGCGUCUGCCGUGAAAGUCCGGGGCUCAACUCCGGAUCUGCGGUGGGUACGGGCAGACUAGAGUGAUGUAGGGGAGACUGGAAUUCCUGGUGUAGCGGUGAAAUGCGCAGAUAUCAGGAGGAACACCGAUGGCGAAGGCAGGUCUCUGGGCAUUAACUGACGCUGAGGAGCGAAAGCAUGGGGAGCGAACAGG